rnacentral:rRNA from 1 species
GACGAACGCUGGCGGCGUGCUUAACACAUGCAAGUCGAACGAAGUGGCGAACGGGUGAGUAACGCGUAAUCAACCUGCCCUUCAGAGGGGGACAACAGUUGGAAACGACUGCUAAUACCGCAUACUGAAGGCGGGGAUUGCGUCUGAUUAGCUAGUUGGAGGGGUAACGGCCCAACCAGGCGAUGAUAAGGAGCCCGUCUGAGAGGAGGAACCGCCACCAUGGGAUCUGGACACGGCCCAGACUUCUUAGGGAGGCAGCAGUGGGGAAUCUUCCGCAAUGGACGAAAGUCUGACGGAGCAACGCCGCGUGAGUGAUGACGGCCUUCGGGUUGUAAAGCUCUGUUAAUCGGGACGCGGUACCGGAAUAGAAAGCCACGGCUAACUACGUGCCAGCAGCCGCGGUAAUUC